CCAAUGGAAGACAAACGGCAGUAACACCAAUUCUUGGAGUAGAAGAGUGUCUGAGGUAAAUGUUAAUGAAACCCAGGAGUCCUAGUUCUUCUGACCUUUGCUCCAGUUUUCAGAUAUCAUAAAGAAGAGUCUCACAACAAGGGAUCUUUGCCAUCAGAAUCAAUUUAGAAAUGCAACAAAUGUAUAACCUGGCGUUAAACACGGAUGUGUGUAACUCAGACACAGAAGCAAGGAGCACUGUACUGUAAACCUCUGGAAUAUGCACUUACGGGGAAAAUGACUUUGAAAACCAUUACCCUAAGUACAUUAUAGGCAGCUUCUCAAUAAAAUAUAGCUUGAGUCUUAAUGCUGUGCAAAAUACCAUUAGGUCAACUUUGAGUUGAAAAUUGCCUACAUAUUAUAAAAAGGAAACCCUUCUGCC